rnacentral:rRNA from 1 species
UACGUAGGGGGCAAGCGUUGUCCGGAUUUAUUGGGCGUAAAGAGCGUGUAGGCGGCCAUGCAGGUCCGUUGUGAAAACUCGAGGCUCAACCUCGAGACGUCGAUGGAAACCGCACGGCUAGAGUCCGGAAGAGGAGAGUGGAAUUCCUGGUGUAGCGGUGAAAUGCGCAGAUAUCGGGAGGAACACCGGUGGCGAAGGCGGUUCUCUGGGCCUUACCUGACGCUGAGGAGCGAAAGCGUGGGGAGCGAACAGG